rnacentral:lncRNA from 1 species
UAAAUGAUCACUUGUUUCUUGAAUGACGCAAAAGCUUAACGUCUUUAAGAUUUAAAGAGUCAAAAUUACCAAGGAUGCUUAUCCGAAUAUAUAUAUACCAAAAUAAACAUGAAUGCCUAGUCAUAUGAUUCCUUACCAUUUACCAAUCCUUUAUAUAAACAUGAACAUCAUGGAUGUGCCAAAAACUACCUAAGCAUUAUGGUCUGCUUCUCAAAUGCCCAAAGUUAUGUUUUCUUUUUCUUCUUCCAUAAGCCUAGGUAUGAAGUGCAUCCUUUACUAAACCUGCAUUGUUCACUGCAUCUUCAACCAGUUGAAAACAACCCACCACUGAAGAGAAGCCACCUGAAGUGCAACAAAUUAAUUUAACAUUGUUAUAUGGGAAACAAAUUAAAGUUAUAAUUUAUAUGGGAAAAAUAUUUUAAAUUAUUUCUUCUUGAAAAAUAACAAUGUCUAAUAUCCCAAUUUAGUUAACAAGUAUAUAUUGUUAUUAUCCAAAUGUGAAUUAUUCAUCACAUCUUGAUAAAUCAACUUUUAAGUCAUCAUAAUAUGAUGCACUCUAAUCGUUUGACUAAAAAGAAGGAAUGAAAUUCCCCACACUAAAACCAACACAGAAUUGAACCAUCCAUUCCAACUAACAAAUACGAGCACAUCCAAUAUGGGAAAAUAAAAGCUGAAAAAUCCAAAUUAUGGAAAAAUCUCUAAUCUUCUCUUUUUCUCCCCAGAAUGAUGACAAUGGCUAAUAACAUCGCGAUUAACAGUUAUAUUCAUCACCUGUAAACAUCAUCUUUUCAUGUUGUAUAGAUGGGUUCAACUCUCAAAAGGGAUACAUCGUCAUUCCUGGCGACUUUCAGUUAGUGUUAAUUGUCUGAGUGACAAUUCUGCUAUUUGGCCAGAAAAUAGUCCAUAAGAUCACCAGCGAGCAAGACAUGAUUACCACUUUUCUCAACAAUGAACUCCCUUGAACCCUUCUUAGCCUUAAAUGUGCUUUCCCUCUUGCUCUAUAUCUGGAGCCAACUGGAAUUUCCUCUGAUUUUGUUAGAAGGGGGCAGAUUCUAAUGAUUACUGUUACACUCAACUUGGCCGGUAGCUUGAUCAACGCAUUUAAAGAGAUAAAUCUGGCCNNN